rnacentral:misc_RNA from 1 species
GUAGGUGAACCUGCGGAAGGAUCAUUAUUGAAUAUUCUUGAUGGGUUGUAGCUGGCUCUUUGGAGCAUGUGCACGCCUGUCUUGACUUAAUUCAUCCACCUGUGCACUUUUUGUAGUCUUGGAGGUUGAGAGCGGUCAACUAUCGGAUGGCUGUUAUGGCCGUUCCGGAUGUGAGGAAUUGCUGAGUGUGAAAACAUACAGCUCUUCUCAAAACGACUUGCAAUACCUCUCCUUCAAGUACUAUGUAUUCAUAUACCACAUAGUAUGUUGUAGAAUGUAAUCAAUGGGCUUAUGUGCCUAUAAUAAUCAUAUACAACUUUCAGCAACGGAUCUCUUGGCUCUC